rnacentral:rRNA from 1 species
GAUGAACGCUGGCGGCGUGCCUAAUACAUGCAAGUCGAGCGAAGCGGGGACGGGUGAGUAACACGUUGAUAACCUCCUCUAAGACUGGGAUAACUUCUGGAAACCGGAGCUAAACCGGAUACUUCUAUAUGGAUCCGCGCUGCAUUAGCUAGUUGGUAAGGUAACGGCUUACAAAGGCAACGAUGCAUAGCCGACCUGAGAGGGUGAUCGGCAACACGUGAACUGAGACACGGUCCAGACUCCUACGGGAGGCAGCAGUAGGGAAUCUUACGCAAUGGGCGAAAGCCUGACGGAGCAACGCCGCGUGAGGGAUGAAGGUCUUCGGAUCGUAAAACUCUGUUAUUAGGGAAGCGGUACCUAAUCAGAAAGCCACGGCUAACUACGUGCCAGCAGCCGCGGUAAUAC